rnacentral:tRNA from 1 species
GAAAUAAUUAAAUUGAACUUCUAAUUCAUAUGUUAAUAGAAAAUAUCUAUUUUAUUUCU